rnacentral:misc_RNA from 1 species
GAAAUGCGAUAAGUAAUGUGAAUUGCAGAAUUCAGUGAAUCAUCGAAUCUUUGAACGCAUCUUGCGCUCCUUGGUAUUCCGAGGAGCAUGCCUGUUUGAGUGUUAUUCAACUCCUCAACCACAUUCAUUGAUUGUGGCUUGGAUGCUGGGGGUUUGUUUGCAGGCUUCUUCUGUAAAACGGAAAAGGUCGGCUCCCCUGAAAUGUAUCAGUGGUAUCUGAGGCUAUUGCUAUAGGUGUGAUAAUUAUCUAUGCCCUUGGUAUGCUGAAUGAACCGCUUCUAAACCCAGAAAUGAUCUAUUUCUUUUGAUGAAUUUGACCUCAAAUCAGGUAGGACUACCCGCUGAACUUAA